UACGUAGGGGGCAAGCGUUGUCCGGAUUUACUGGGCGUAAAGAGCGUGUAGGCGGCCAAGCAGGUCUGUUGUGAAAACUGGAGGCUCAACUUCCAGACGUCGACAGAAACCGCUUGGCUAGAGUCCGGAAGAGGAGAGUGGAAUUCCUGGUGUAGCGGUGAAAUGCGCAGAUAUCAGGAAGAACACCAAUGGCGAAGGCAGCUCUCUGGGACGGUACUGACGCUGAGACGCGAAAGCGUGGGGAGCGAACAGG
rnacentral:rRNA from 1 species